UUAACUAGUAAGUUCUAGAAUCCAAAAUAGAAUGCUCAAGUUCUAGAACUUGAACACAAAUAGUUCAAGUUCUAGAACUUAAACGUGUAAAAUAUAAUUUAAAAUCUAAAACUCAAACAUAGUAUUUUUAAAAAUCCAGUGGCAUACAAUAAGCUUAGUGGGGGACAAAAAAAUUCCCUUACAACAUAGUAAUUCUCCAAGUCCAUGUUAAUUCAAGUCCAAUUGGGUAUAUUUUCUGCCCAUGUUCAAUGUAUGCUUUGCCAAAGUAUACUCUCUAUUUUCGUUGUUUCACUUCACUUCAUGAAUAUUUAAAAUAUACUCUCUAAACUUCACUAAAAAUGCACAAAAUUAAGUUUGUAACAAGGUGUAUGUUGUAAUAAUAAAUAAUUCACGAAAAAAAAUAAUGUAUAAUGAACAAAUUACUGCCUAUAUGUUUGAAUGAAGGUUCAGAUCCAGAGCCCGAUCAAUAUUAAUCAUCCAUGAAAAAUCUAGUUCCUAUUUGUUUUUUUUUUUUUGACAUAACUCCUAUUCGUUUAUUUGUACAAGAAAAACAUCAUCCUUUGCAGAAUUUUAUUGUGCAACUUUUUCUGGAUGUAUGCAAAAUGAACCUAAAUAAAAAUAGUGGCAUACAAUUUUAAAGUAAAGAAAGAAAAAGAUGGUUGGAGAAUGGCAUAAAUAAGAAUAAUAUACAGAAGGUGCAAGUCAUUUUUCUUCCAAGCGCCGCAGCACCGACUCGGCAAAGUUCUGUUGCCUACAGAUGAGUUAUAGCCAAUAAUCAACAACAUGACACAUAAGAAUUAACUAAAAAACUAACACACUAACACACAUGAGAGUAGAAUGUAAGUUUCUAACAAACAACAUUAGUUGCAUAUUGCAGCAUAAACAUUUUUAUUGAGUACGUUACUAUAGUAUUUAACCAAUCCUCUUUGUAAUAUAGGGAGAUUGAAUAUUGUUAAACACUAACAUUAUAUUUUGACAUAAACAGAAAGGUUCAAGUUAAGGGUGUACACGUGUAGGGUUGAGUCGGUUUAGGUCA
rnacentral:lncRNA from 1 species